AUCAUGGCUCAGAAUCAACGCUGGCGGCGUGCCUCAGACAUGCAAGUCGAACGAUUAAAGCUCUCUUCGGAGAGUGUAUAGAGUGGCGCACGGGUGAGUAACACGUAAGUAAUCUACCCUCGAGUGGGGAAUAACAACCGGAAACGGUUGCUAAUACCGCAUAAUGCAGCGGCACCGCAAGGUGACAGUUGUUAAAGAUUUAUCGCUUGAGGAGGAGCUUGCGGCAGAUUAGCUAGUUGGUAGGGUAACGGCUUACCAAGGCUACGAUCUGUAACCGGUCUAAGAGGACGGUCGGUCACACUGACACUGAAUAACGGGUCAGACUCCUACGGGAGGCAGCAGUCGGGAAUUUUGGGCAAUGGGCGAAAGCCUGACCCAGCAACGCCGCGUGAAGGAUGAAGUAUUUCGGUAUGUAAACUUCGAAAGAAUAGGAAGAAUUAAUGACGGUACUAUUUAUAAGGUCCGGCUAACUACGUG
rnacentral:rRNA from 1 species